GAUUUCAUUUCAUGACACACACAGAUGGACCUACGUGUCAGGUCGCUAUAAAAGGUUAGUCACGGAAACUACUGCUAUUACACCUUCAUCGAAACGACAAAACUAAAGGGUCUUAAUUACUGUGUUAUCAUGAAAGCCUGGUUGGUCGCUGUUUUAGCAGUUGGUCUACUCUUCGUCUUUGGUGUGACGGCAGACGAGAUUCAGGGAGACGAUGUAGAAUUUGAAUUAAAAAAAAAAAGGGACUGUAUAGGCUUUUGGGAAGUGUGCAAGGGACAUUCUGAGUGCUGUACAGGAAGAUGUGCUGACUGGCUGCGACCAGGAGAUAUCGGCGCCUGCAACCUUGGGUAAACUAGAGGAAGAGACGCAUCAAAACGCCUUGCCUUUCCUCGCCCGAGUUAAUAAAGGAUCACAUUUAAAAAUGUUAAAGGCAUAUAUAUAGAGAAACAAAGAUGAGCUUUGAAA